ensembl:lncRNA
GUUUGCUCUUUUUAUAACAACUCAUUCUCCUGAGAACUAAUCUACUCCUGUCAAACUGGACCCACAUCCACAAGACAACAUUAAUCCACUCAUGAGAGUGGAGCUCCUGUGACCUAAUCUCCUUCUGCAAGGUCCCACCUUUUAAAGGUCUCAUCACUUCUCCACACUGCUACACUGGGGACCAAACCUCCUACGUGUGAUGUUCUAGGAACAAACCAUACCCAGCACUGGACUAGGAUGCAAAACUGAAAAUAGUCUAGAUUACCCCAGUGGGGAGCUUGAGGCCAAAGACUACCCAUUGCUUGGGUCCUGCAUCGGACCAAUUCAUCCCCAGUAUCCCUGGAGAGCAUCACCAAGCUCAAAUGCUGCCCCGAGUCCCAGAGGUGCAGCAGCUGGAGGCUGUCAGCUCACCAGACUCCUGGUGGCUGAACAAUAUGUCCUUUCUUAGAGAGAGAACUACACGGUGCACCUCUAGCCAACCUUUGGAUGUAGUCCGAGUCAUGAUGUCUUUCUAGUGGCUGGAGAGCCUCAAGAGGGCCUGUGUGGUCAUAGAGGGAAAGGAAGGAGAGAGCCACUACAUUACCUUCUAGAGUGGGAAGUCAGUAAGUCUGGGACCUGAAACCCUAAGAAACACCAAGAAGAGCUAGGUACAGUCACAUGUCACUUGGUAACAGGGACACGUUACAACUAAAGCAUUAUUAGGCAAUUACAAUGCUGUGUGAACAUCAUGGAAUGACCUUAUAAAGCCCAGAUGGUACUGCCUGGUACUCACCUUGGAAGCGAGGGUCAGCUCACAGACCUGGACAGCUCCUUACUACACUGAACACUAGGCAACUGAAACAUAAUGUAAGUAUUUGUGUACUUAAACACAUCUAAGCACAAAAAAAACUGCAGUAAAAAUUCUAGGCAACAGGACAUUUUCAGCUCCACAACAAUUGGAUGGGGCAUUGGAUGGAGCCACCAUCUACAUGGUGCUCCCUCACUGGUCCAGAUGGCGUUCUGCAGUGCCUGACUGUGUGUAGAGAUAAGAAGAUAAUCUACAAAAGAACCAGCUACAAAGUUCUGAAAGCAGUUUUCUCUGGGGAAGGGCCAGUUCGGGGAAGGGAACAGAGAGGUCCCAAGAGCUCCUGGGUGCUCCCAGGGAAGUGGUCACCAUCCAGACCUUAGCCUCGAUGCAAGGCAGAGCAGCCCUGGAGAGCCCAGUGUUGCCUUUAACUGAUGCGGCCUCUGAUCCCUACCACCCAGCCAUGUCUGCCACCUCUCAAUGCCACAGCCAGGACCUCGAACAUCACCACUGAGCAGAAGAGGCCUGAGAGGACCAGGGCAUAAGCCCCUAGCAACUGCACACCUCCUCUGUCCUGGGACAGUCCCAGGCUACUGAGCCUGAAUCCUAGCCUGGUUGUUAACAUCCUUGGCAAGUGCUGCAAAGGGCUAGAGUAUCCAUAUUUCAGCAUGUGCAGGCCACACUGGCUCUGCCAUGAUUGCCUAGCAUGCCCUGACUGUGGAAAGUUGGCCGCAGACAGUAUGGUCAGCCCUCUGCAUCUGUAUCCCUGAGUUUUGCAACCAACUUGGUAUCAAAAAAAAAAUUUUUUUUUUGGCCAAGGAUUUAGCUCAGUGACACUGUGCCUGCCUUGCAAGUACAAGGAUCCAAGUUUGAUUCCCCAGUACCAAAAAAAAAAAAUUUAAGUCAAUGCAGUGGUACAUACCUGUAAUUCCAACUAUUGGGGGUGCUGAGGCAGGAGGAUCAUGAGUUCAAGGCCAGCCUGGACAACUUAGCAAGACACUGUCUCAAAACAAAAAAAAAAAAGGGCUGGGAUGUAGCUCAGUGGUCGAGCCCUUGCCUAGCAGUCAUGAGACCCCAGGUUCGUCAUCCCAGCACCAAAACCAAACAAAAUCUGGUAAAACAAAUCCACGAGAAUAAAAUAUAUAGCAGUUGUAUUACGCAUUGAAAGUAACCUAUAGAUGAUUUUAAAUAUACAGGAGGAAGUACAUAGGUUAUAUGCAAAUACUGCACCAUUUAUGGGAUUUGAGGAUCCUCAGAUUUUGGUGUCCAGAUGGUCCUGAAACCAAUUCCCUGAGGGUACUGAUGGGCAGCUAUACACAGAUGAAUGUGUGGCCAUGUGCCAAUGAAAUUUUAUUCACAAAAACAGAC